CUGUUGUCACAUGAGUUAUUCCUAUAUAUCUAUCCUAACAUAUACUCAAUAUUAACAGAUACAAAUUCUAAGUGGGGUUGAUAUCUGUAAACUCUCAUAAUAUUCUUUUGGUGAGGUGCAGUUGCCUAAAAUGUAUUUUACACGAAGAUGUCACUGAAUAUAUACCUGAAUGUUCUCAAGCAUCAUAUUCAACACCAGUAUCAACCUUUCUAUGUCAUGUCUGUCCAUGAGAACAGUGGAAUAUUGAAGAGGCCUCGUUAAUGGAACGAUCACCCGGCAAAAUAGCACUGCAGAAAAAAAAAUAUAUAUAUAUAAUUAUGUAUAGCAGAUCAACAUUUAACAAGGCUUAA